rnacentral:rRNA from 1 species
UACGGAGGGGACUAGCGUUGUUCGGAAUUACUGGGCGUAAAGCGUGCGCAGGCGGUCUUGCAAGACAGAUGUGAAAGCCCCGGGCUUAACCUGGGAACUGCAUUUGUGACUGCAAGGCUGGAGUGCGGCAGAGGGGGAUGGAAUUCCGCGUGUAGCAGUGAAAUGCGUAGAUAUGCGGAGGAACACCGAUGGCGAAGGCAAUCCCCUGGACCUGUACUGACGCUCAUGCACGAAAGCGUGGGGAGCAAACAGG